UCUCUCUCUCUGUUUCUUUCUCUAGCUCACUCCACCACUUUGUUUAUCUAACCGUUAGCAACCCUCUCUCUCUCUCUCUCUGUUGUUUCUCUAGCUUGCCUCCACCACUUUGUUUAUCUAACGUUAGCACCCCUCUCUCUCUCUCUCUCUCUGUUGUUUCUCUAGCUCACUCCACCACUUUGUUUAUCUAACGUUAGCACCCCCUCUCUCUCUCUCUUCUGUUGUUUCUCUAGCUUGCUCCACCACUUUUUUAUCUAACGUUAGCACCCCUCUCUCUCUCUCCUCUCUCUCUCUGUUGUUUCUCCUCGCUCACUCCACCCACUUUUGUUUAUCUAACGUUAGCACCCCACCUCUCUCUCUCUCCUCUCUCUCUCUCUCUGUUGUUUCUCUAGCUCGCUCCACCACUUUGUUUAUCUAACGUUAGCACCAAUCCACAUAGCUCACUAGGAUACUGCAGCAACAGCUGUUGUUAUAGCAACAGAAGACGCUCUCGGCUGCUUUGCUUUUUUGUUUUUUAAAUCAC